rnacentral:misc_RNA from 1 species
UACGAAGGGGGCAAGCGUUGCCCGGAAUUAUUGGGCGUAAAGCGCGCGCAGGCGGCCUCUUAAGUCGGAUGUGAAAGCCCCCGGCUCAACCGGGGAGGGCCAUUGGAAACUGGGAGGCUUGAGUACAGGAGAGAAGAGUGGAAUUCCCGGUGUAGCGGUGAAAUGCGUAGAGAUGUGGAGGAACACCAGUGGCGAAGGCGACUCUUUGGCCAAUAACUGACGCUGAGGCGCGAAAGCGUGGGGAGCAAACAGG